CAGUUAGAUAAACCCCAGCAAAGGCAGCAAGACAGUCUUAUGGGGUCACACCAAGGAUAACGGCAUUCCUGCUUGAGUCCCGAGUCUUUUCAACGAACUUCACUGAACACAAGUCCCGAGUCUUGUCACCGAACUUCACUGAACACAACUCCCGAGUUUUGUCACCGAACUUCACUGAACAUAAUGGUCUUGGAGGCAAGCACCAGGCAAUCAAGGCCAGAUGUUUGCUCUUUGCCACUCAUGGCAAGUGUUUUCAAGCAAUUCUUGGCAUCAAGCGGCUGUUAAUCAGGAACUGGAGUUUGCUCUCAGCCACCAAGGGCUUGUAUAUUCAAGGUCUUGGAGGCAAGCACCAGACAAUCAAGGCCAGAAGUU